rnacentral:tRNA from 1 species
GCCGGGAUAGGGUAGUGGCUAUCCUGUGGGACUGUGGAUCCCACGAGCUGGGUUCAAAUCCCGGUCCCGGCCCCA